AUGGAUCCCAAACAGAUGGUGCAUAUGAAUCAAGGACAAGAGGAAACUAGCUAUGCUCGCAACUCCAGUAUUCAGAAUGCUGCGCAGAACAGGAUGAAGCCCCUGAUAGAAGCGGCAAUCGUUGAUGUAUGCAGCAACACCAGCACCUUGUCGUGCGGAAAGGUGGUGAUCAUGGACUUGGGCUGCUCCUCUGGUCCAAAUGCGGUGGCAUUGGUGUCAAUCGCCCUUGAGGCCACCCACAGCCACUUUCUUCAGUUGCAGCAGCCACCUCCGGAAGUCUGUGUACUCCUGAAUGAUCUCCCAUACAAUGACUUCAACGUGGUGGUGAAGAGCCUGGUUCCGCUCCGUAAAAUGAACGAGUCUGUUGUUGUAACUGGUGUUGUACCAGGGUCAUUCUACGAGAGGCUCUUCCCUGGUGGAUCCUUGCAUCUUAUCUGCUCAUCCAACAUCCUUAAUUGGCUCUCAAAGGCUCCUCGAGAUUUAAUGAUGAACCAAAUCCCGGCGUACGACAUCGAUGAACAUGUCAGGCGUGAAAGACUCACGGUGGUUGCUGGAGCUUAUGCAAGACAGUUCAGGAAAGAUUUCACACUUUUCUUGGAGCUGAGAGCCAAAGAAUUGGUCCCUAAAGGCAGGAUGAUUGUUUCCCUUGCUGGGAGGCGUUCUGAUGAACUCAUAAACGAAAGCUCUCACGUCUGGGGAACUGUAGCUCAGAUUUUAGCCAUCAUGGCCUUAGAGGGUGCGAUUGACAAAGCAAAGUUUGAUUCUUUCUACAUACCAGCAUAUGGGCCUUCCCUUGAAGAGCUGAGGGAAAUCAUCCAGGAAGAUGGUUCCUUCUCAGUCACCGAGAUGCAGGCGCACGAGCCUACAAGCGGCAUGGACUAUGCAUGCCUCACCCCAAACAUGAUUGCGAAUAGUUUGAGAGCUAUAUAUGAGCCGAUAAUAGACCAACAUUUUGGAUCCUCUGGAGAGGUCAUGGAUGAGUUUGUGAGGACCGCGGAGAAGUAUUUGAGCCUGCAAGGUGGCUCUCAAGUCAAGCAGACCAAAAACCCGAUAGUUAUGCUGGUUGUAUCGCUCACCAAGGCAUGA
rnacentral:rRNA from 1 species